UGGUUGUGUGUGGUAUUGACACAUCAUCAACACUGAUUGGUGUCGUUUCUGUGAACCGAGAGGGUUAGGAUUAGGAUUAUAUUAUUUAAUAUAGAUACUCACUCUCACUGAUAUCUGCUAGCAGGGACAGAAUGGGAAAUUUUAGACAGUUAAAGCGGAACUAUGCAGGAUUUUAACCCUAAUUUAACUGCUUUGUAGUCAUUAUGAUGGUUAGAUGUCUCAUUGCAGGGAGAUUGGGGGCUGUCUCUACCUCCCCUACCAUCUGUUAACGGAAAACCGGCCUUGCAAGAUCAGGGUCGCCGACCUGGUCUUUUAUUCAUCAUAAAAGAAGCAGAGAAAACCGUUGUUGGAGGAAGCGAGGAAGAGGAAACGACUAUCUGACCGAGUGAAGGAGCGACACACGAGGAAACAUUGAAGUGGCUUUAUUGGAAUGGCGAUGCUGACCAGCAUGGACACAGCGAUGAGUGUGAACACCAGAUGGAGCCAAACAAGUCCUCCACUACAGUACGCUGUGCAACGACUUCGGACCUGAACUCCAGGUUAAAUAGAGACACAUCGCAAAAAGGCGCCUCUCUGCCUUCUGCUCGCCGCGCACUGGGACAGACUCCAGCCUCGUCCCCGGAUCCUGGACAGUGACCGAGACGGAUGGCAGAGGCCGAGGACUCCACGUCAUACCUGAGGCCUGCAGAGCGCCGAGCACACACACCGGCCACGUUUGGUCCAGCGGUGAGGAAACGCAACACGGCAAGAGACACAUGCAGCUGAGGCACAUGCACACGCACAGGUUUGUGCAGCAAUUCUUCUGAG